AGCAGCCGCGGUAAUUCCAGCUCCAAUAGCGUAUAUUAAAGUUGCUGCAGUUAAAAAGCUCGUAGUUGAAUUUCGGGACCAAUCUGCCGGUCGUGCCUUUGGCACGCACUGGUUUUAUUGGUUUCUCCCUUCUGACGAACCAUAAUGUCAUUAAUUUGGUGUCAUGGGGGAAUCAGGACUGUUACUUUGAAAAAAUUAGAGUGUUUAAAGCAGGCUCACGCUUGAAUACAUUAGCAUGGAAUAAUGAAAUAGGACGUUUGACCCUAUUUUGUUGGUUUCUAGGAUCGACGUAAUGAUUAAUAGGGAUAGUUGGGGGGCAUUAGUAUUCAAUUGUCAGAGGUGAAAUUCUUGGAUUUAUUGAAGACUAACUACUGCGAAAGCAUUUGCCAAGGAUGUUUUCAUUAAUCAAGAACGAAAGUUAGGGGAUCGAAGACGAUCAGAUACCGUCGUAGUCUUAACCAUAAACUAUGCCGACUAGGGAUCGGAUGAUGUUAAUUUUUUAAUGACUCAUUCGGCGCCU
rnacentral:rRNA from 1 species